CAGGGAAAAUUCCAUGUUCUUUGUUCUCUACCUUGGGUGUGUAGCCCAUCACGAGAGUGUUAGACAGUGACGAUACCACCCCAAAGAAAUGUAGGCAAGUCCUUCGCUUAUGCUAACUGGGGAAGCCUCUGCCCGAUCUGUGUAUCGGACGUGCUUCCCCUGCAGCUGCCGCCAUGUGUGAGAGUAAAGGCUCUCUAUAAACUAAAUUAGGACAAGUAGAGUUUUUCUACAACAAAGGGCGAAGCUCAUCUUCAGUGAAUAACACAGCAGUGAUCACUCAGCAGGGUGGAGUGUGCUUUUCUCAAUUUUGGAUGGCAAUGCUCUUUGGUUAAUUGCAUGCUGAGUAUUUCUUGAUAUUCUGCGAUCAGAAAUAUUAAUGCCUUGUAGCUCACCAGUAACACAAGACAGUUUUGUUUGUUUUGUUGUUGUCCAUUUCCCCCACCCCACCAAAUAAUACUGUAAUGGACUAAUGCAUUAGUAAUGUGAUCAAGCUUUCUUUCUUUCUUUUUUUUUUUUUUAAUCUUACUUAACAGUGACAUUAACAGUAUAGCACAUGCUUUUUUAAUGGGAUCGCUCGGUUGACCAAUUUGAAUUUUUCUUAUUAAUGUGAUGUGUAAUGACUUUUGAAUGUCUGAUUUAACAAGAAAUAGGUAUUUCAAAUGCCAGUGAACUUUCUGCAAGUUUUUGGCAGCUCAUUAGAAGGUGUGGCAGUUCAUUUUCGGUUGUAACAGUUUAGUUAUGAUGACAUUUGUCUAAGAGUGAUAAAUUUAAUUGCAUCUUAAUCUGACCUCUAUUCAUGUGGUUUGCUGUUUAGCUCUUUUAUCUUCUCAAGGUCCAGCAGGUGGUACUAUUGACACAAGAAUUUCCUCUGUUUCCCACUCCGUAACCACAUUGUCAAUCUACUAUUUUGUUUUGCUGUUAUGGGCAGCGUGGCUCUGAAUAGGAAUGAAGAUGCUACUAUCUGUUAAAUUUCUAGAAGUGGUAGAAAGCUUUUCCUCAGCAGCUGUGACAAGGGCUGCAAAGAAAGAUCCGAGGCGGUUUUGCCCUGCACUGUUGUGGACGCAGUAGAAUGCAGGUACAAGGGAAGUUGUUUUAAGAACCUGGGCUGGGUGACUCCAAGGCCGAAAACUUUCAAGAUGAAAAUCAACCUGUGCAUUUAGUCAAACUAUGACUAUGACCAUGAGUGCCUCCCUCUUCUGAAAUACUGCAUCUCACUACACCACUGCAAAAGAGAAUCUUUUCACCAAAAGGUGCAAGCUGGCACAGCAGUUUCAGUGUUGAUCUUUGAAUGCAGGAAUUUACGGUUAAUGGAGAAAUAAUUCUGUUGCUAUUAGACAUAAACCUAGAGGGAAAACUCAUUUUUGACCGAUAGUUUAAUAAGUGAUCAUGAUCAUGUAAUUAAAUACUAUUUAAAAAAAAAAGCUUGUAAAGCUCUUACUACUGCUGUUUAGAUCAAAUCAUAGUUGUGGGAAAUAACUCAGAACUGCUUAGUUACUUAUCUUUAUUAGCUGGAAGGGAGGUACGAUAUUUAUUUGACCUUUAAACUUCAUGAAUCUUUCUUCAAGAAAGAGUCAAAUGACUGUAAAAGUAGUUGCAGCAUGGUCUUAAUUGUGAUUCGUGAAUCAGUAGUGGUUGCUAUCGCCAUACGUGUUAAAAUAAUUCUUAAAACAACAAAGAAAUGUAGCCUUCCACAGGAAAGGCUUAGUUCUGGAAAAGUAAUUGCAGCCUCUGUGGACAUGUGUGUAAGGCUUUGUGACCCUGCUAUGUUACUCUGUAGUAAUUAGCCAUCAGUUGAGAUACCAAUAGGAAAGGAUCGGAGCUAAUCAAUACAGACUCUCAUUGAUUUUUGUGAGCGCAGGUACACUCCUGACAGGACACUGAUGGAAGCAUCUGUCGGUUGGGUUUGCUUGGCACGUCUCCAGGUCUGACAGUCUCCAUGUUAGUUCCGCUGAGUCAGUCUUACUUUUUUUCUUCUCUAGCUGUAUUGUCACAUAUUGCCAUGCUCUCUGAGUGGUAAAUUAAAGGUGAAAAUCAAUUUCUGGUUGUAGAAUAGUUCUUCUGUCUGUGUAAAUGCCACCUGCAAUAGAGGGGAACAAGCUUUUGUAGCCCUGUUAGCAAGCUGGCCUGAAAUAGACUGUUCCUACAGUUGCCCUUUCCUGUUCAGGUCCAUUCCCGUGCCCUAUAAAAUAUGCAUCAUUCAGCCAAGAAGUAGACUGGCAGCAAGAAACAGGCAGGCUCUGCUAUACUUCUGUCACACUGGAUGUAUUGCAGCUGGCAAUGGUGCUGGUUUUAGAUCCUCAGCCUUUUUGUUCUAGCUUUUUCAUUCUCAGGUCGUUCAGAAACAGUCAUGUGUGUGUAAAGUCUUUGGUCCAAAGGGCAGUUUCUAGAGAUGCAUUGUUUAUUUUUCUAUUACAUCACUACUCAGAGUCUGAGCUAUGAUUUUUUUUAUUCAUAAUAUCUUAUAUAUGGGAAGAUUGAUUCCUGCAAUAGAGAUCAUACAGUCUUAAAACAUAAGUUGAUUCUUAACUUGGUACCCUGCUAGUAAUUCUAUGAAAGUCCACAGUAAAAAAAGAUAAGCAUCUGUUCUUGCUUUUGCAUGAAAAUUGAUUGUGAGAAAAGAAAAAAGAGCUGCAUGAUAUGAGCAGUUUAGUGAUUUAGUAUUUUAUGUAGUUUUUAAAGGACUGUAUCUCACGAGUUGCUUCUUAAAACAAACUUAAUUUGUACCACUCUGGAAACCUAUGACAUGAAAGCUUCUAGACCAUGUCUUUCUUGGAAAAUUUGGUAAAUUAGCUAAAAUCACAAACUUAACUUUAAACACCAUGUAUUGAGAUGCACACACACACACACACACAUAUAUAUACACACAUGCGCGCGCACACACACACAUCAUGUAUUGAUAUAUAUAUGAGUAUUAGCAAUGAAAUAGUAACUAAUGUUCUUUAAUUAUUCACUGUACUUAGAUGUAUUUAAUUCUGCACAAAACAUGGAAAGAGAAGGGCUCUGUAAAAGCAGUCAGAUUAAAACACGAUUGUACUUGAUUACUUCACAGUAAAUGUACUAGUUAUUUUCAAUAUCAUUGAAAUACUGAUUUUUUUUUUAAGAAUGUGACAAUGCUAAGGUUUUUUAUUCUAACUCACUUAUCAGAGGUGAAUGAGUAUGAUGUAUUGCUUAACUGUAGAAUACAGGCACCAAUAUUUGGUGAUUACGCCAUGACUUUCUACAAAUUUCUUUUUAUAUUUUGCUUUAGGGAUUAUUGUGAAUGUCAGGCUGCAAUCAAAGCUAUAUGUAAUUUGUGUUUUGAGAGUAAUACUUUUGCAGAGGUCCAUGAAAGCUGACCUCUUAAGCUAAGGCUGAACUUACUUCAUAAGCUUUCAGCUAAUGUUGGUAAUGUUUCUUCAUUACUAAUGAAUCCUUUUCCAUUAGUUUCCCAUCUUUCCUAACAGAAUGCCAUGGUCUGCUCUGCAGAAACAAGACUGACUGAUUUAAGGAUGUUGCCAGGUGCUGACUCAAAACUUGAACACUGCAUACAAACCUUCUGUCUAUACUUUCUCCUUCUGUGCAGAAAACUAUACGUGUCAAGCAUUGACAUUACUGGGAAAGCUCACUGUCAAAGUCAGUGGUAUCACAUGCUUGAAUAAAAUCUGGAAAAGCACCUGGAAAUCCUCUUCAAGUGACGUCCAGCAUAUAAUGAUGAACUUUAAAUUCUGUUGGGGCUCCUUCGGAUUUCUUCCCUAGCUAAAGCAGCAAAGAAUGCUGUAAGUUCCCUCUUCAGACUUCAGAAAUUCAUCGGUCCUUGCAGAGUGUUGCAUAUGGCCAACAGAGCUGCGAGAGCGGGGACGUUGUGCAGAGUUCUACAAAGGCUACGUCAGAGUUUUGUAACGCACAGUUUCACUUGUCUUCUGUAUAUUGCGUGUAUAUUUGUGUCCUGUUUUUUUUGUUUAUGUUUUGUUUUGUUUCAUUUUUGCUACCUCUCCCAUCCACUCAAUGGGACAUAUUAGUAUUCACUCGUGAAGUUUGUGUCAGCAUUGCAGGGGAAAAAAAAACAAAGGGGGAAGGACAUAUAUGUGCAUUUCCUUCCCCACCCCCCAAUCCUGGAAAUGUGACUUGAAGAACUGAGCCUUUAUAUUAAGAAAAAAGUAAUAUGCAUUUCCAUGUACCAAAGCAAAGCAUCAGAAUUUGAUACUUACAGUUAGCACAUCCUGGAGUGCACGACAGUGUACUUGGCUGAAAUUAACUUUUUCGGCGGGAGGGUGAGAUUGGUUCUUAACAAUAAAGCUUUUAGUGAUAUGUAAAUUGUUCUGUCACCAAAACUCAGGGGUGCAUGUUCUGGCAUAUAUUUACAAUAUUAAUGUGAAGUCAUCAUGAGGACCAUAUAGCUAGCAUCCCAAUAUCAACAGUGAAAUUUAGGAAACAGUGAAGUCAUGUCAAACUCCUGGACUUUCACCUGUGUAUCAUGUCCCCCCAAAAUCCUGUUGAAGUAAAUAUUAGGUCCAUUUGUUGUCUUUAUAUGCGGGUGUUUACAGAAACGGUUGUCCUAGUUUCCCAUACAUGUCAGUCCUGUGACUAUUCAUAGUUUAAUCCCAUACUAGAAGAGAAUGGCAGUGGAAGGAGGAGUUCUUGUUCCUAGCCCUUUACAGUCUUCUGAUUUGCACUCAUGUUAAUUCAGUCAUGUUCUUACUAUUUAACAUAUAAAGAACAAACAAGCAGGCCACAAGCUUAAACAAGCCUUUGAGGGGAAACAUCUAAACUGUAGCAGAAGCAUGUGUGUG